UGGCGGCAGGCUUAACACAUGCAAGUCGAGCGGAUGAAAGUAGCUUGCUACUGGAUUCAGCGGCGGACGGGUGAGUAAUGCUUAGGAAUCUGCCUAUUAGUGGGGGACAACGUUCCGAAAGGAGCGCUAAUACCGCAUACGUCCUACGGGAGAAAGCAGGGGACCUUCGGGCCUUGCGCUAAUAGAUGAGCCUAAGUCGGAUUAGCUAGUUGGUAGGGUAAAGGCCUACCAAGGCGACGAUCUGUAGCGGGUCUGAGAGGAUGAUCCGCCACACUGGGACUGAGACACGGCCCAGACUCCUACGGGAGGCAGCAGUGGGGAAUAUUGGACAAUGGGGGGAACCCUGAUCCAGCCAUGCCGCGUGUGUGAAGAAGGCCUUUUGGUUGUAAAGCACUUUAAGCGAGGAGGAGGCUACCUAGAUUAAUACUUUAGGAUAGUGGACGUUACUCGCAGAAUAAGCACCGGCUAACUCUGUGCCAGCAGCCGCGGUAAUACAGAGGGUGCGAGCGUUAAUCGGAUUUACUGGGCGUAAAGCGUGCGUAGGCGGCCAAUUAAGUCAAAUGUGAAAUCCCCGAGCUUAACUUGGGAAUUGCAUUCGAUACUGGUUGGCUAGAGUAUGGGAGAGGAUGGUAGAAUUCCAGGUGUAGCGGUGAAAUGCGUAGAGAUCUGGAGGAAUACCGAUGGCGAAGGCAGCCAUCUGGCCUAAUACUGACGCUGAGGUACGAAAGCAUGGGGAGCAAACAGGAUUAGAUACCCUGGUAGUCCAUGCCGUAAACGAUGUCUACUAGCCGUUGGGGCCCUUGGGGCU
rnacentral:rRNA from 1 species